rnacentral:rRNA from 1 species
UACGUAGGGGGCAAGCGUUGUCCGGAAUCACUGGGCGUAAAGCGCACGUAGGCGGCUGUGUCAGUCAGGGGUGAAAUCCCGGAGCUCAACUUCGGAACUGCCUUUGAUACAGCACAUCUGGAGUCCGGAAGAGGUGGGUGGAAUUCCUAGUGUAGAGGUGAAAUUCGUAGAUAUUAGGAAGAACACCGGUGGCGAAGGCGGCCCACUGGUCCGGUACUGACGCUGAGGUGCGAAAGCGUGGGGAGCAAACAGG